GCAAUAUGUAAAUUAAAAUGCGAAGACGCCAGUGUGUUUUACCCGACUUAAAAAGGGGGUUAUAGUUAUGUCGGCUACACCUUGACCGAAUCUGUAGAUCCUGAGUGCAUCGCGUCAUUGAAUGUUGUGACUCAAACGAAAGCCGGGCACUACCAUGCGUUUGUUUUUCGAAUUCUUCUCACUUUUGAAAAUGUGAUAGUGAGAAUUCGUGGAAGUGGUAAACAUUAUACUUUUGCGUGUAAAAGUGUAAAAGCGAGAGCUGACUAAGAACGAAUAGCAUAUAAAAUAAACAUUUUAUAUGGACUUACGUUACACCUGACGUUUAGUUACAUAUAUCACUUAUGGCUUCCAUGGUUCAAUUAGUUAAUUUGGGGCGUAUUUAGUAAGAAUAGCAAUAUGGUCCAAAGUAAAAAUGACGAUUAAGUAAAUGUUAUUCUUGGAUACUAAAAUAAAAGUAAGUAUAUCUAUUACUGCGCAUAGCCUGUCCUAUCAAAUCGAAACGCUUCAAAUCAUAUUUACAAACAACUCGUUACUUAGUGACAUAAUUAAAGUCGGUAAGUUGUGACAUGUCAUUUACUUAAACAGAGUUUGUCACUAUAAUGGUAAGAGGGGCAUCUUUUAAAAGAGUAAAGUUUGUCUAAGUUAGCAAUUUUACAUUUUAGUUCAAGCAAUAAAAGUUAAGUAAGUUAAGGUAGGUAUUUCUAAUGCUUUACCCAAAUCUUUGAGGCACUAAAAAAGCAAAAUCAUCUGGAACAUAAAAGACUACAAUAGCGAGUUAAACCAAAAGUAAUUCUCCAGCUUACCAAAUGAAAUGUCGUGCAUUUAAAUCACUCAGCUUUUCCUACACAAAUCAUAAAAUAUCAAUAAACAAGUCCGAUUCACAUCCGUCAUUCGAGAACAAAUAGUAGUAUCUCUAUCACGUUUCGCCACUCGAAGAAAGGCUUGGAGGCUCGCUUUCGUUGUUUACGGGGAGAAAUCUCGACCGGUCGGCAGCGCCCGCGCACCGCGUCAGUCCCGCGCUCCGCGUCAACACUCCAACACGCACGCGAACGGCGCACGCGCAUAAAACUAUCGUGACAUUAAUAUACUCAACGAACCCUUUACAAAUUUAAUAUUUUUCUUUCGUUUUUUUUUAUGUUAGUGCUGUGUAAUCUGUGAAUGUGAACGAACUGUAUUUUUUAUUGUUAGAAAGUGUGCCUACCUGCUUGGAGUGUUUUUCUGUAGUCCACCGAUGGCGCUCCGGUGACCGAAGAUGUGCGCACGCGCAGUGGCGCUGUGGUGCGCGCUGGUGGUCGCGGCGAGCGCCCGCGCAGCCGCUUACACCGUCGACUGUAAUCACGAGUACACCGACUGUGACACCGAAUUGAG